CUCUCCUCCGGUGCGGCGGCGGGCGGCGGCGCAGCGGCGGCGCAGCCGCUGGGGCCUUCUUCCACCGGUGGGGCCUCGUCCUUGGCCUCUCCCGCCCGGUACCUGCAAGACUGCUUCUCCCUGCUAUGCUCUGUUGUGACAGCCUCAUCCAUUUGAGCCAAGCCUUCUGAAGCCUUUGCCUUGCAAAUAGGCAGAAGACCAUCGGUGGAAAACAGAAGCUGCAUCCAAUGGGGAGCAAUGAUCUGGGAGAGUUGGCAACCAGUGGGCUAGCAACGAAAACAUGCAGUUUCACAAUGCUUCUUCACAUGCCACAUUCAAAGAGCAUCUCCAUACAAGAUUAAUUCAUUCUAUGUAUUGGUGAUAAUUCCUUUGUAUUCUUUCUCAAUGCAAAAUUAAUUCAUUCUAUGCAUUGGUGAUAAUUCCUUUGUACUAUUACAUAAGUGCUUGUAUGCAGAUAAAAUUGCACCUUUGCG